rnacentral:tRNA from 1 species
CGAGGAGAAACAAGCUGAGAAAGCAUUACCACCUGCUUCGGGAGCAGGGGGCCGGAGGUUCAAAUCCUCUCGCCCCGACCA